CUCCGGUUUCCUCGACAAGUCCAAAGACAUGCAGUACAGAUGAAUUGGUGGGAUGAUGAUGAUGCUCCAUACCCAACUUUACAGAUGGCUGAAAGUCCGUUUUAAAGGCAUUAUUACAUCCUUCGCUGUUCACUGUGUUUUCAACUUGGCUUAUCCAUUCUACAUAAAGAAUGCAAAGGAUGAACAUCAGCAACUCCCCAAGAUGGAACAACAAGUUAAAUUUGAACAUCAGCAACGGUGUGAAGAUGGAGAUCCAAAAUUACAAGAAAAAUCAGUGCAGCUGUCCGAGAGAACUUGUAUUGCUGGGUCUGCAUCAAACAGCAAUGCUUGGAUCUUUGCAUUUACUUUGGUGCAUGCGUUUCGAGUCUGUGCAUCAGUAAUUUAAGACUAGCAGCUAUAGACAUUUCAAUAACAUUGCCCAAAUCAUCUGAGAAGCACAAGAUGAAACAAUGCUAAGAAUUUUCUCCGCCCAACAUCCUUGAUGAGAUUGACACAUUCAGGUGUUCAAAUUGAACUGUUAUCGUGUGCAUGUGAGACCGCUAAUGGAGAAGAAAUAACACUUUCUUAAUGAAAUAAUGAUUUUUUUCUUUCUUAAUGAUUCAUAUUUCCAUGCAAAUACAGUAAGAGUUUGACUUUGAAUGGGGUGUUAUAAACCAAGACAGACGGACUUUCAGGCUCUUGAAACAUACUCUGCUGAUAAACUGUUUAAGAAUGUUUAGAAAUUUCAAAUCAAAUGUGUAAAACUUUGAUCAAAAGUGUUUUUGAGAUCUAAAAUGAUUAAGGGUAUACUUUAAGUGACAUGUUUCAAUGUACUGUAUGGAAAAAGAUUGCUUUGAGAUUUUUGAUGCUUUUAGAAAAUGUAGAAUGCAGUGCACUAGCAAAAAUGUACUUUAUUAGGUCUACUGUUGUUUUAGAAAAAUUACUUUGUUACAUUGGUAAAAAUGCUCAGUGAAAUGGGAUGCACUGAUGUAAAAAAAAUAAUAUUAAGUUUUUUUGCUGUUUCAUAAAAUGUUUUAAAAUGUUUAAGCAGCUAUUUUUUAAGUUUAUGCAUCUGGUAUGACUUUGUGAUAGUGUGAACUUUCAUCUUCUAAAAAGGUGACAAUGUAAUUGUUUUGAAUCUUUCAAUGUGUGUUUGUGAUAAAAUGUUACAUUUUAAUGUCUUUUAAAAUGAUGUAAUGUUUAAACAUUCAUCCUGUAAAAAUGUUGAUAUUUAAUAUGUUUAAUAAAUGUGAUAAAUGAAA